GAUGAACGCUGGCGGCGUGCCUAAUACAUGCAAGUCGAACGAAAAGGCGAUGAUCUUGCGGGGUGCACGUGUGGCGCAGGGGUGAGUAACACGCGUGUAUCAUGCACCUGUCAUUGUGGUAACUUCACGGGAAUGGGGAUAAUACCCGAUAGAAGAUACUGCUGCACGGGGGGGGUUCGAGAGUUUCGGCGGUUGGGGAUCGACUCGCUGCUUAUCAGCUUGUUGGUGGGGUAGUGGCUUACCAGGGCUUUGAAGGGUAGCCGGCCUGAGAGGGGGACCGGCCACCAUGGGACUGCGAGACGGCCCAGACUCGAACGGUACGCAGCAGUGGAGAAUAUGGCAGAAUGGGCGCAAGCCAGUGGCAGCAACCCCGCGUGCGGAAUGACGUGCUACGAGUUGUGAACCGCUGUGGCCUGUGACGAGGCGGGAUUGACGGUAAUGGGUAAGAAAGCACCGGCUAACUACGUG
rnacentral:rRNA from 1 species